GCCUGGUUGGCUCAGUCAGUAGAACUUGUGACUCUUGAUCUCAGUUGUGAGUUCAAGCCCCACACUGGGUA
rnacentral:tRNA from 1 species